rnacentral:rRNA from 1 species
AUGAACGCUAGCUACAGGCUUAACACAUGCAAGUCGAGGGGCAGCAUGAUUGAAGCUUGCUUCAAUCGAUGGCGACCGGCGCACGGGUGAGUAACACGUAUCCAACCUGCCGAUAACUCGGGGAUAGCCUUUCGAAAGAAAGAUUAAUACCCGAUAGCAUAGUAUUUCCGCAUGGUUUCACUAUUAAAGAACUUCGGUUAUCGAUGGGGAUGCGUUCCAUUAGAUAGUUGGCGGGGUAACGGCCCACCAAGUCAACGAUGGAUAGGGGUUCUGAGAGGAAGGUCCCCCACAUUGGAACUGAGACACGGUCCAAACUCCUACGGGAGGCAGCAGUGAGGAAUAUUGGUCAAUGGACGAGAGUCUGAACCAGCCAAGUAGCGUGAAGGAUGACUGCCCUAUGGGUUGUAAACUUCUUUUAUACGGGAAUAAAGUGGAGUAUGCAUACUCCUUUGUAUGUACCGUAUGAAUAAGGAUCGGCUAACUCCGUGCCAGCAGCCGCGGUAAUACGGAGGAUCCGAGCGUUAUCCGGAUUUAUUGGGUUUAAAGGGAGCGUAGGCGGGUGCUUAAGUCAGUUGUGAAAGUUUGCGGCUCAACCGUAAAAUUGCAGUUGAUACUGGGUACCUUGAGUGCAGCAUAGGUAGGCGGAAUUCGUGGUGUAGCGGUGAAAUGCUUAGAUAUCACGAAGAACUCCUAUUGCGAAGGCAGCUUACUGGACUGUAACUGACGCUGAUGCUCGAAAGUGUGGGUAUCAAACAGGAUUAGAUACCCUGGUAGUCCACACAGUAAACGAUGAAUACUCGCUGUUGGCGAUACACAGUCAGCGGCCAAGCGAAAGCAUUAAGUAUUCCACCUGGGGAGUACGCCGGCAACGGUGAAACUCAAAGGAAUUGACGGGGGCCCGCACAAGCGGAGGAACAUGUGGUUUAAUUCGAUGAUACGCGAGGAACCUUACCCGGGCUUAAAUUGCAGCGGAAUGUAGUGGAAACAUUACAGCCUUCGGGCCGCUGUGAAGGUGCUGCAUGGUUGUCGUCAGCUCGUGUCGUGAGAUGUUGGGUUAAGUCCCGCAACGAGCGCAACCCUUAUGGUCAGUUACUACGCAAGAGGACUCUGGCCAGACUGCCGUUGACAAAACGGAGGAAGGUGGGGAUGACGUCAAAUCAGCACGGCCCUUACGUCCGGGGCUACACACGUGUUACAAUGGGGGGUACAGAAGGCAGCUACCUGGCGACAGGAUGCUAAUCCCAAAAACCUCUCUCAGUUCGGAUUGGAGUCUGCAACCCGACUCCAUGAAGCUGGAUUCGCUAGUAAUCGCGCAUCAGCCACGGCGCGGUGAAUACGUUCCCGGGCCUUGUACACACCGCCCGUCACACCAUGGGAGUUGGUAACGCCCGAAGUCAGUGACCCAACCUUUUAGGAGGGAGCUGCCGAAGGCGGGACUGAUAACUGGGGUG